ensembl:lncRNA
GGGAGUGCUUUUCACAAACUACAUGGCAAUUUCGUUCACAAUAAGGAAUUCUAAGUACCAGGCAUUUGCUAGAUUCUCUGGGAAGAAUCUUUAAUUCCAUGGGAAGAAGCAUGGCAAAGUGCUUGAUCAAAGUGGGCAUUUUCCUUCUUUUCCCGCGUCUCUUCACUUUUUAAAAACCCGACACGAAUUUGCAUCCCUGCUUGUUUAAUUCAACAAAUAUCCACCGAGUCACCAGUAUACGUGAAGCAAAGCGGUGAGCGGUGGACAGGAUCCAGAGAAAGAUGAAAUAGAAUCUUUGAUAAGGUUCCGUGCCCGUGUUUAGAGGAAUACACAAACAUCUGUACCAUGAGACGGAAUCCUGGGCUUCCGUAAAACGUCACAAUGCCACUGGUUGUCAAAUGCUCAUUCUGUGCAAAGCACCACGCCAAGGACUAGGCCACUAAAACCCCCAGCAAGGUGCGUGGUCGUAUCGCCGUUUCUCGCGCGAGUGACAAAGAGAUUCACAAAGUCUGCAUGCUUACGUGUUCACAUUUGGAAGACGACAGCCCAGGACCUGGAUGGACUCCCCGUUUGUCUGAUUCCGUAAUCUUCACCCUUCACAACUCCGUGGUGUCUAGAAGACGUGAGUGGCCUCUCCCAUCAAGAGGUCAGGAGAGGCUUCACGAGGCACACGGCCUAAGAGAUGAACUCAACCAAGGGGCUUUCGAGAAGCAGGGCUGGGUCUGAAAGCUCCUUCGGUUUACAGAGCCCGGAUCAGGACACGAAGGAGGUUCGUGGAGGGAAUAGGACAACUGCAGUGGACCGGGAAAGCUCGUGGCUGGCCCUGGAUCCCAGGACAGCGAGUCUGCAUUUCAUCGAAGACGCAUACGGCCCCACCUGCCUUCCACCAGGGGCUCUGUCUGUCGGCCCUGGAGGCAGGCUGGAAACUACCGUGCAUAUAAAACCCUGGGGAGUCUCGGAGAGCCUCAGGUCUAAGAGGUGAGCCUCGGCUGCAAGUGCGGGGAGAGGGGUCCAAGCACGGAGCCUUCUGUACCCCACCCUCUCACUCUGCUGCCAGCAUGGCCCCAGGCCCAGAGCAGGGACCAGCCCCUGCUUUGGGCGUGGGAGCCUUUGCUCAGACAGGUUGGAAGAUGAGGGAUGUAUAGGGGCAAGUGCGGCAGGGGACGCGGGGACGGGAGGGACAGGCCGCAGGGGGGGAAAGACAAGAAAUUGCGGAAAACAAGACUGAAUUUCUCAAUUUUUUUUUCCUGUUCACAUUUCAGGCGAAGGUUAUUUUAUCCCUUUCCAUGUCUAACAGACACGAGUGGGAACGUGUUUGUUUUCCUAAGGUAAUAAUGCUCGUUGAUCUUGAUCACAGCAUUGGAGAAGCUUCUACAGAACAGCCCCCACACCUCUGUGCUCCCCAUGCCCAAGGGGCCUCCUCUCCUGCAGCAUCCAGAGCAAGGAGGGGAUGAACAACGUUAUGGGGGGGGCAGGUGACAAGGUUUUCUCCAAGGUCAGGGGGAUCCCCUGCCCAACAUACACCUGUGCAGGUUGGGAUUCCUCCAAGAACAUUGCCGAGCUCUGGGUCAACUACAGCCUUGGUGAGAAAGCG